rnacentral:rRNA from 1 species
GACGAACGCUGGCGGCGUGCCUAAUACAUGCAAGUCGAGCGGAAGUUGGAGAGCUUGCUCUUCAACUUUAGCGGCGGACGGGUGAGUAACACGUGGGCAACCUGCCCUGCAGAUCGGGAUAACUCCGGGAAACCGGUGCUAAUACCGAAUAGUUUUCGCCACCUCCUGGUGGCGUACGGAAAGACGGUUUCGGCUGUCACUGCAGGAUGGGCCCGCGGCGCAUUAGCUAGUUGGUGGGGUAACGGUCCACCAAGGCAACGAUGCGUAGCCGAGCGGAGAGGGUGAUCGGCCAAAAUGGGACUGAGACACGGCCCAGAAUCCUACGGAAGGCAGGAGUAGGGAAUCUUCCGCAAUGGACGGAAGUCUGACGGAGCAACGCCGCGUGAGUGACGAAGGUUUUCGGAUCGUAAAACUCUGUUGUGAGGGAAGAACAAGUACCAACUAACUACUGGUACCUUGACGGUACCUCACCAGAAAGCCACGGCUAACUACGUGCCAGCCGCCGCCGUAA